AUGGGAGGCCAAGUGAUCCUCUCGGAACACGCUGUCCUGACCAUAAACUGCACUUACACAGCCUCAAGGUACCCCACUCUUCUCUGGUAUGUCCAAUAUCCUGGAGAAGGUCCACAAGUCCUUCUAAAAGCCAUGAAAGCCAGUGAGCAAGGAAGUAACAAAGGCUUUGAAGCCACGUAUGAUAAAGCAGCCAGCUCCUUCCACUUGGAGAAAGCCUCAGUGCAAGAGUCAGACUCGGCUGUGUACUACUGUGCUCUGAGUGACACGGUGGCAGGAACUGUAGGGGGAGCCGAGCACAAACUCAGCAGCAACAAGAGCCCUGGCUUGGUAUCUGCUUCUAGAGUCCACUGUGGUUUCCACACGGCUGUAGUGUUCACCUCUCCACUCCUCUGGGUGAUGUAA